rnacentral:rRNA from 1 species
UACGAAGGGGGCUAGCGUUGUUCGGAAUUACUGGCGUAAAGCGCGCGUAGGCGGCUUUGCAAGCCAGAGGUGAAAUGCCUGAGCUCAACUUAGGAAUUGCCUUUGGGACUGCGAGGCUUCGAGGACUGGAGAGGUGAGUGGAAUUCCCAGUGUAGAGGUGAAAUUCGGUAGAUAUUGGGAGGAACACCAGUGGCGAAGGCGGCUCACUGGUCCAUUACUGACGCUGAGGUGCGAAAGCUGGGGAGCGAACAGG